UACAGAGGUCUCAAGCGUUGUUCGGAUUCAUUGGGCGUAAAGGGUGCGUAGGUGGCGCUGUAAGUCGGGUGUGAAAUUUCGGAGCUUAACUCCGAAACUGCAUUCGAUACUGCCGUGCUAGAGGACUGGAGAGGAGACUGGAAUUUACGGUGUAGCGGUGAAAUGCGUAGAUAUCGUAAGGAAGACCAGUGGCGAAGGCGGGUCUCUGGACAGUUCCUGACGCUGAGGCACGAAGGCCAGGGGAGCAAACGGGG
rnacentral:rRNA from 1 species